CCUGAACACGCUCGGUCUCGUCUGGUCUCGGAAGCUAAGCAGG
rnacentral:rRNA from 1 species